GACGAACGCUGGCGGCGCGCUUAACACAUGCAAGUCGAACGGAAAGGCCUGCUUUCCCUUGUGGAUUGCGGGUACUCGAGUGGCGAACGGGUGAGUAACACGCGAGUGAUCUGCCCCCACCUUGGGUAUAAGCCUGGGAAACUGGGUCUAAUUCCCGAUAGGACUGCAGGGUGGUGCCUGUGGUGGAAAACGAUUUUCUAGUGGUUGGGGAUGAGCUCGCGGCCUAUCAGCUUGUUGGUGGGGUAAUGGUCUACCACGGCGGCGACGGGGAGCCAGCCUGAGAGGGUGGACGGUCACAUUGAGACUGAGAUACGGCCCAGACUCCUACGGGAGGUAGCAGUGGGGAAUAUUGCACAAUGGGCGGAAGCCUGAUGCAGCGACGCCGCGUGGGGGAUGACGGCCUUCGGGUGGUAAACUCCUUUCGACCGAGAGGAAGCCACCUGGUUGGAAGGGUGGUGACGGUAGUGGUAGAAGAAGCACCGGCUAACUACGUG
rnacentral:rRNA from 1 species